AUGAACGCUGCGGCAUGCCUUCACAUGCAAGUCGAACGGCAGCACGGGAGCAAUCCUGGUGGCGAGUGGCGAACGGGUGAGUAAUACAUCGGAACGUGCCCAAUCGUGGGGGAUAACGCAGCGAAAGCUGUGCUAAUACCGCAUACGAUCUACGGAUGAAAGCAGGGGAUCGCAAGACCUUGCGCGAAUGGAGCGGCCGAUGGCAGAUUAGGUAGUUGGUGAGGUAAAGGCUCACCAAGCCGUCGAUCUGUAGCUGGUCUGAGAGGACGACCAGCCACACUGGGACUGAGACACGGCCCAGACUCCUACGGGAGGCAGCAGUGGGGAAUUUUGGACAAUGGGCGAAAGCCUGAUCCAGCCAUGCCGCGUGCAGGAUGAAGGCCUUCGGGUUGUAAACUGCUUUUGUACGGAACGAAACGGCCUUUUCUAAUAAAGAGGGCUAAUGACGGUACCGUAAGAAUAAGCACCGGCUAACUACGUGCCAGCAGCCGCGGUAAUACGUAGGGUGCAAGCGUUAAUCGGAAUUACUGGACGUAAAGCGUGCGCAGGCGGUUAUGUAAGACAGUUGUGAAAUCCCCGGGCUCAACCUGGGAACUGCAUCUGUGACUGCAUAGCUAGAGUACGGUAGAGGGGGAUGGAAUUCCGCGUGUAGCAGUGAAAUGCGUAGAUAUGCGGAGGAACACCGAUGGCGAAGGCAAUCCCCUGGACCUGUACUGACGCUCAUGCACGAAAGCGUGGGGAGCUAACAAGGG
rnacentral:rRNA from 1 species